UGAUUUGGGGGCAAGCUGAAGCCUCGUCUCCCCACCAGGGAGCAGGCAGAAGGAAGACCUUCACGGAGCCCUCCAGAGCACGUAACAGGAGAGCCCGCAUUUGGAUGCCUGCCCAUACACUGGGAACAAAGGGCCCGUCGGUGUCAAGUGGAGGCGCUGUCGUGACCAGCUGAGAGGGUUACGAGCUUACAACCGACAGUCUCGUAAAACGAGACCGGCCUCGCCGUCCUCCGCCCCCCACGCCGCAGCAGUGCAUGCUGGGAAGCGGGAGGCGUUGCUAGAACGGGAAGAAGCCGGACCCCCCCUCCAAAGCGCUGCUGUCAGCCGCGAGCGCACGUUCCAGUCCCUCAGGGAAACUUUGAAAAAAAAAUUCUUGGUAUGCCCAGAUAUUCCGAUUUAACUGGUCUGGAACGGAACCCAGGCAUUGAAAUUUUUAAUGAGCAGCCUGAAUUGGGAACCACUUCCCUAAAGCCUGCGCUUGGGAGAAGGUGGAGGGUUGCCAGAUUUAGCAAACAAAAUGAGCGGUACUUAGAUGAAAACGUUAUUUAUCUAGAACUCUAAUUUCAUUGGCACUCUGCAGUUUUAAGAGGGAAGGAAAAGUACUGGAAAUGGACAGAAGGUUGAAAUUUUUAAAUGAACAGGGCAGAAUCUUAAGGAAUGAAAAUAACCGUCUAAUGAUAAAAGGUGACUGAAACACUAUGGAAUUGGGCUGAUCUGUUACUUAAAGGAGCAGCUACCCAGUGAGAAAUGGGGGUUUGAGAGUUUGGGAGCAAUUUCAGGAAAAAUAAACCGUUUCAUGUUUAUGACCCCAGUGAACUGAGAUUCCCAGUAAACCAGUGAUAUCACUCUGACCUUGCCCCAGAGAUGAGCAAACAGAAGCCUGGAGAAUUUACGUGAUUUGUGCAAGUUCAACACAGCUGAUUCCACUGUUGGGAGGACUCCUGUUUAAUUGCCUUCAUAUGGGCGGCACCUAGCACAAUGCCCUGCCUGCGCCUUCACAUGUGUUCACAGCAGCAUCGUUUACAAUUGCCAAGGUGAUUCUUAGAAACCUCCACUCUGAAGGCCUCUUGUCCUUCAGUCAAGCAUCCAGCACAUCCUCACAACUCCUCGGAUCCCCCUGAGGCCACUCUUCUCACCGUUGACACCACUACCAUUAUUCCUGACACAUGAGGCAGGAUGAGCCAAGACCAGAAGGUCAUCAUGAUCAAGAGGAGCAAUUUGUUAACAUCUGAAGUGCCGUGCUCAGGAAUACACAUUCCAGAGUGUUUGUAAGCUUUGAUAGAUGCUAACUGGAUGUCACACUCCAGAAGCACCUUCUACAAGAGCUUCGACCAUCUUUUUUUCCUUUCCAGCUUUAUUGAGAUAUUACUGACUUAUAAUAUACCGCUAGCCGUCCUUCUCCACCACUCCAGUGGGGGAGUUAUCCAAGGCAGCUCAAUUCAACUGAGCGGCAGGAAGGACAGAAUCCCAUGGAAAGGAGCCAAAGUUCUAUGAGGAAGACAAUACCAGUUCUGACAAAUCUGGAAGCUGAUGCAAGGACAAAAAUAACACCACUUGGUGACUGGGAGCUGAGAGCAGGAUGGAAAGGGGUGUGAGGCACAGGUUAGCAUGAUCAAGUCAGGACUGAGGCCGUGACCAGCAGGUGAUUGCCGGAGCACACCUUUGUCAUGGUGCCAGAACAUAUCAUGCCUCUUAAAGGAGCCACAUGCAGCUGGACACCAGUCAACUCUCCAUAGGCAAGCUUAUCACCUAUUGCUUCACCACUCACCUCCCCUGAGUACAAUGUGUGUCCUGUGUUUCCCAUUCAGCUAUUGGCACCACCAUCCACUUAAGAAUCAUCUUGGGCAUCUCCAAUAUCAUCUUCCCAAUUUUAAUCAAUCAUCAAAUCUAAAAACUUCUAUCAACUAAGUAUCUCUUGACCCCAUCCCCAGUCGCCUUGGUUCUGGCUCUCAACAUCUCCCCGUGGGACCGUUGCUGCCCACACUGCAAGAGGUUCCUCGCCGACUUCCUGCUCACAGCAUCCCCUUCCUCUCUACCAUGGCACAGCCGCCUCUCUGCCCUACAUAUUAAAACCCUUAGGAGGCGCCCCAUUGUCCUUAGCAGACCAAAUUCCAGAGCAUGGCGUAUUAGAGCACUUUUAUUACAAGUGAUAGAAACUUUAGUAGGACUAUUUGGGACGAAAGGGGGAAAUGUAUUGAUUUACAUAGCUGAAUUGUGGGAAAUAGACCUGUUGUGUCCCAGAUAUUUGAAUCAGGGGCUUGAAUACCAUUGGACUUUUUUCUCUUUCUCUGUGUAUUGUCAACAUUGUCUUUGCCUUUUUCCACAAGCCUGGACCAUGACCCCUGGCCCCUUGGAGCUCAUAUGUACCUAGUUGCUGGUACCAUUAGAGUGGGUAAGGCCCCUCUUUUCUUCAUUUCCAAUUUGAAAAUUUCCAGGGAAGAACUCCUACUGGUCUGGCCAGGAUGAUGGGUCCAUCCCUGGUCUAAUGAAUACUACUGGGACGGGGAAGGGGAAACCAUGAUUACUGUACAUGUCCCUGGUUAGGGACAAAGAGCAUGAUGUACCAUCAAUAUUGAUGAAAAUGGAUGUCCUUAGAUAAUCUACCAAAGUUCUCUGAUAAUCUACCAAAGAAAACAUGGUCCAAAUAAUUUUCUUCCUGGCUGGCUAACCCCUAGCAGUAUGGUACAGGAGUUAAGCCCUGAUGCUCUGGAAUAAUAUAGACGUAGGUUCAAAUCCCAGCUCUCCCAGUUCCAUUAGUUGUAUGACCUUGGGCAAUCCAGUGAAUCUCAGUUUCCUUAUCUGUAAAAUGGGGAGGGACACAUAUAUCAAGAGACCCACGUGAACAUUUAAGGAGACAGGCAUCGAGAGCACCUAGAACGGAGCCUGGCUCACAGUGGGAACUAGGGGAACUCUUCCUGCCCACAUGAGUGGGCAGCCUUCGGAAGGCAGCAGGGCCUCAGGCCGCUGCCUGCUGCCAGCAGAAUGAGAUCAGGGUUACUCAGAGGAACAGACUGACCUGAUUCACAGCCCUCCAGUGAAGGGACCCAUCUGACACCCCAGAGAAGACAGUGCCAGGAAGAGGAGUUGCUUGGCACAUGAUAUUCUCAGAAGCAAGGAUGAGGGGUCCUUUCAAAGCACCCCGUCUCCCUGCCAGAGGAGGACAACGUCUGAGGGGAGGCACUUCUCCAGUGAGAUGCUUAUAAUGCCGCCAGCCUCGCGGGUUACAGCCUGGAAUCAUCUCUUUAUUAAAUAAUAAUUAAGAGGCCCCGGUAAAGGGAAUCUGGGUAUAAUUACCUGAUUUAUUAAGCUGCUCAGUCGAAACUGGGAGGCCGUUUUAUUUCAGUGGCCCCACUCUUAGGCAAUUUUUGUGUUUCUGGAAGCUGCAAGUGGAGUCUCACUUUUGUGGGGGGGCUCACGCUCAAGGUCGUGUGUCCUCAUCCCUCAAGAAGGCUCCAGCCAAGCCUAUGAUUCAAAGGGCGAGCCCUCCCCUUUCCUGUUCCGACAGAUCUAAAUUGGUCUUGGAACAGAACACAAGGAAGGGCGGAGGGACCAGCUGGGCAAGGAGUCAGCUCAUUAGUAGCCACUAUGGAGGCGUUGAAAUGAAGCAAGUUAAAAGCAUAUUAGUUUAAGUGAGACUUUUCAUCAAUGAGGGGAGGUGUUUAGGUAGGAAGCAAAUGUAAUCAUUUUGUGGUGGGGCGUAGUUUGGUAAUUAAUGGGGAAGUUGUCAGUAUAAUCUUGAGGGAGUCCCAGGAAAUGAAGAAAUCUAUCUUAUUAAGGAAAACCCAGGAGAAAAAGUUAUUGGAAUGCAAAUAAUUCACCAGCAAGGUGCUGGUAGCAGGUUUUUAUUAGAUGCAUGAGUUGGGACAGUCUUUCUGCCCCAGCUGUGUUUUGUCUUUGCCCAGACCCACUACUUCUUCUUUUUUUUUUUUUUUUUAGUUGAAGUAUAGUUGAUUUACAAUGUUGUGUUAGUUUCUGGUGUACAGCAAAGUGAUUUAGUUUCUCAUAUAUAUAAGUUCUUUUUCAUAUUCUUUCCCAUAUUAAUUUAUUACAAGAUAUUGGCUAUAGUUCCCUGGCUAUAGUUCCUAUACAGUAGGACUUUUGUUGUUGUUGUUUUCUAUUUUAUAUAUAGUAGUGUGUGUCUGUUAACCCCAAACUCCUAAUUUAUCCCUACCCACCUUUUCCCUAUGGUAACGGUAAGUUUGCUUUCUAUGUCUGUGAGUCUCUGUUUUGUAAAUCAGUUCAUUUGUAUCAUAUUUUAGAUUCCACAUGUAAGUGAUAUCAUAUGAUAUUUGUCUUUCUCUGCCAGACGCACCACUUCUCCUAAUGGAAAUAUAGAGAAGAAUAGAGAAGGUUGCAGGGGUCGUGAAGCAAGCACAGGUUUCUUUCUGCUUUUCAGAAGGGCUGGCCAGUGCCUCGGCCAUGCUCCUCAGGAACGGGUGGGAAAACGAGCCUACCUGGUGGGCCAGCCAGGUUCCUGCUACCUGAAGCCUUGCCAGGGCUGUGCCGACUCCCAGUGGCUGGAAAAGGAGUCUGAGGGAAAAGUCUUACAAAGGCACCCAUAGCACAGUGGUUGAGGCAGGGCUCUGGGGGCUUCCCUGGUGGCUCAGUGGUUAAGACUCCACCUGGCCAAUGCAGGGGACACGGGUUCGA